rnacentral:rRNA from 1 species
GAUCCUGGCUCAGGAUGAACGCUAGCUACAGGCUUAACACAUGCAAGUCGAGGGGCAGCGGGAUUGAAGCUUGCUUCAAUUGCCGGCGACCGGCGCACGGGUGAGUAACGCGUAUCCAACCUUCCGCAUACUCGGGGAUAGCCUUCUGAAAAGGAGAUUAAUACCCGAUGGUAUCAAGAGAUUGCAUGAUAACUUGAUUAAAGAAUUUCGGUAUGCGAUGGGGAUGCGUUCCA